UUGCCAACCGCCAAUAAAUAAUACAAGAAGAAGAAGAAGAAACUGUAUUCCGGUGUUAGAGCUGUAUCCUGCAUAAUGCUGAAAAUCAGCUCAAAACAAAGUAGACUAUACUUCUCCCAGAUGCCAAAAGACGGUACCUCAAAAAAAUAGCUAAAAUUGGAAAUGUUGACCCCUUUGAAUUAAGAAAUUGGAGCAGAGACCCUGAACAUUUGCCUCCACUGACAUUCCCAGACAUAUUUGCAUACCUGGUCUGUGGUGUCAGUGUACACACCGCAAGUAAUUUUAAGAAUUACAAGUCAAUGGAAGCGCAUGUCCAAUUUGCGAAUGGCUGGGUACACGAUUUGGACAUUUUUAACCCCUUGGAUUGUGAAUACGUUGUGGUUCGAACAAAGGUGUCUGGCAAUGAACUUCACCUGAAGAAACAACAUCCAUACUACAGACAGGCACAAACUGAGAUCUUUGUUACAAAAUCAAGCUACUGUGACCUUGUUGUGUGGACCCAGAAAGACAUGGCUGUGGUCCGUGUCUUUCCAGAUCAGAAAUUCUGGGAACCACGCCUCCAAAAAGCACAACGUUUCUUUAAAGAUAUUUGUCUCCCUGAGCUUGUCGGUAGAUAUUUCUCAGAGCACGCCUGUACCCCAGCUUCGAGGGAGACAUAACUGGGUAAAAAGUAAUCGAACAGCAUGUAAAUUGUGCUGUGCGACUUAUAUUUGCAUUUCUUAUUUUUGUGAAGCAAUUUCCCCUAUAUAAGGUAUUACCUCAGAUGAUGUUCAUCACGUUUACAUAAAAUGUUUUAUUUGAAGUGUUUAAUUACAUUAAAUGAUUUCUUAGAAAUAGGAUAUAUUUCAUUACAUAUUUACUCGUUACCUGAAAUGUUAUGCAUCAAAUGUUUACUUAAAAAUGUGAUCUGAUCACAUUGGUUACCUUUUAAUGUUUACUUUGAAAUGUUUAAUUACCUCAGUUUUUUACUCAAAGAUUGGAUCUAUUUAGUUACAUGCUUACUUGUUACCUGAAAUAUGUAAAAUAAAUCAAUAUAUACUUUAAAUGGGAUCUAUUACAUCAAUAUGUGUUGCCUUUAAAUGUUUACUUUCAAAUGUCUAAUUACAUCAAAUGUUUACUUAAAAUCUGAUCUUUUUCAUCACAUUACCUGAAGUGAUUCGAUGAAAUGUUUUAUUAAUGUUUACCACAUGAAUAUUUAUUAAAUGAGAAAAAACAGUCA